UAUUCAAAUUCUUUCUUUCUUUCUUCUUGAGUGAGUUUUGGUAUUUUGUGUCUUUCAAUAAAUUGUUCCCUUACUCCUAAUUUUUCAAAUUUGUGGGCAUAGAGUUGUUCAUAUUUUAUCCUUAUUUUCUUUCUAAUGUCUAGGUGUUGUCGGUGAAAUUGUAUCCCUGAUAAAGGCCCAUAGUUGGAAGGGACUUACCUUGUCCCAGAUGAGACUUUGGAUUGUGGACUUUUGAGUUAAUGCUGCAAUGAGUUAAGACUUUGGGGGACUAUUGAGAAGGCAUGAUUGGUUUUGAAAUCUGCAGACAUGAGAUUUGUCAGGAGCCAUGAGCAGAAUGAUAUGGUUUAGCUGUGUCCCCACCCAAAUCUCAUCUUGAAUUGUACUCCCAUAAUCCCCAAGUGUUGUGGGAGGCACCCGAUGGGAGAUAAUUGAAUUAUGGUGGUGGGUCUUUCCUGUGCUGUAAUCAUGAUAGUGAAUGAUUCUCAGGAGUUCUGAUGGUUUAUAAACUGUAGUUUCCCUGCACAAGCUCUCUUCUCUGUCUGCAGCCAUGUGAGACAUGACUUUCACCUUCCACCAUGAUUGUGAAGCCUCCCCAACCACAUGCAACUGCAAGUCCAUUACACCUCUUUCUUUUGUAAAUUGCCCAGUCUCAGGUAUGUCUUUAUCAGCAGCAUGAAAAUGGUCUAAUACAGGGUUGAACUCUGAGAUUUUAGUCUCUUUUAAUUUGUGAGUGGGAAAGAACUUCAUUGACAGCCUUUAAGAAGUAGACUUAAAUUAUAGGAGGAUACAAAUAGCUUUGCCUUCUCAUAAAAUGAAAUACACACACAAACACACAGACAAAAUUUUUCUAUAUCAAUAGAAACAAAAAACAAAGUCUUUCAAUAAAGUUUAAUGAAUAAAUAGGAGAUUAAGAUCUUUAGUUAAUGUAUAGCUAUCGCAAGUCAAUUUCAAAAAAAAAAGCUAAGUCUCUAUUUUGUAUAGAAGAACUCUUCCAAUUACAUUAGCACUAGCUUAAAAGAUUCCAAACUAGAGCAUUUAUUUUACCACAACUGGUUCUUACCAGACAUAACAGAUAAAGAACCAUGAAUUCUUGUGACCUCAGUGUGCCAAACUCUUUCUGGACCUAACCGUAGACACAAUCUUGACCAAUCAACAAUGGUACUUGUUUUAACCAGGUGGAUACAGGCCUAUGGACUCAUUCUUAUGUGGUUAGAAUAUUUUCUUUUUAUUCUUAAUGAGUCACUUCCUUUCUUUUUAGCAUAUACAAGCCCUUUAACAUUUUUCCUAGCAAUCUGGUCAGUGGAUUUCUUCACUGUUACAUGUCCCCUUGUCUGGCAAGAGGAAAGUGUUUUUAUCUUUAUAUUGCAAUCUAAAUGAGCAAAAACCAGUAUAUGUUUCAAGAAAACGUUAAAUACCAAUGACAUACAAAUUUAGCUAAACUACACAUUUACUGAUAAUGAAGUAAAUAAAAACAAAAUAAGAAUAAUUUUAUAUUCGCUCAAGAAUUUGUUAUUAUAUGGGGGAUGAGAGUAUAUGGAAGUGAAUAAAAAUAUAGAGUAACUGUCUUUAAGUAUUUGAUUGUAUUUUUAAACACUGAAAAACAAUACAAAUCUAAAGUAUGGUAAAAUAGGUGCUAUCACAUACAACUUCAUAUAUACAUUGAUGCAACAAUUUUGAAAAGUAGUUUGGUAGGAUACAACAAUAGCUAUAACAUGUGCAUAUUCAACAAUUUUACCACUUGAGCCUCCAUCUUGAGAAACUUUAUAUUAAAAAUUAUUUGCAAAAUUUUUGUAUGCUUACUUAUAAUGAAGAAUUAGAAAUAAUCAAAAGAUACAGUGAAGGAACUGCAAAAUAGAUUAUGCCAAAUCUGUGUAAACUACAUUAUGAAAUACCAAAAAAGAUGCUUAUGUAAUAUCUACCAAAAUAUAAUAAAUGACUCAAAAUAAAUGAUACUUAUAAGAAAACAAAAUUAAAAAUUGUAUAGUAAUAUAACCUUAUUUGUGUAAAAUAUGCUGAGAAAAAGUGGAUGUUAAUAAAUAACAAUAUUUAAAAUUAUUUGUCUUUAGGUGAUCCUUUUCUUUAUAUUUUUCUAUAUCACACAUUUUCCAAAAUAAGAACAUUUUCCUUUCUAAAAUUUUUUUCAACUUUGCUGUUUCUAUGUCAUUUUGUUUUGACACUGAAAUGUUAGGUUAUCAGGAAUUAGAAAGACUUUGAAGUAAUUUAUUUUACUUUUUUUUCUUUUUAGAAAUUCUGUGGCGUAACAAGUUGCUGUCACACUGGCUUUUUAAAAUAUAUGUAUAUAUUUGAAAUACACAUGCACACAACUAAGUUAGAUUCGUCCACCGUUACUAAUAGAAAACUACAAUGUAGUGGCUUAAAAGGAGAAGGAAUUCUGUUUCUCAUGGUUCAGUGUGAAUGAGUGCAGUAUUCAAAAACAUGAAGUCAGAGUCCAGUACUCAAGUUCUGUAUCACUGAACAUCCUGUGGAAGGCCACCAGUCAAAGAGCAGCAAGAGCACACCUAAAUUAGGAUUAUUAGCUUGCUUCAGCUAAGGAGAAAGUUCUUCAUGAGAGCCAUCUAACCUCUUGGAAUCAGUUCAAUAAGUGGUUAUCUCGGGAAGUUUUAUUAAGAGUCAGAAGAAAUGAAGCUAGGCUGGGCAUGUCUUUGCUCAGAAGAAAAAAUUGUUACCAUCUUGCAUUAGCUUUGUGGUCUUUUUGAAUAAUAAUUAUAUUACCAAAACUAGAGAGAAAAAGUAAAAGAUCUAUAGCAUUGCUAACAUCUACUGUAUGUAAUUUGUUAUAUUUUUUAUUAUGUAUAAUAAAUGCUAUUCAGGCUCUUCUCAAUAUUACAUGCUUACAUUUCAGCUAAGAAAAUGGUAAAUUGUAUUCCAUAGACAUAUAACUUGUAGAAAAAUCAUUAAUUUAAAAAGAGCCAUAGCCAGGCACUGUGGCUUAUACCUAUAAUCCUAGCUAUUCACGCUGUCUAGAUGGGAGCAUCCCUUGAGUCCAGUAGUUCCAGGCUGCAGUGAGCUAUGAUCCUGCCACUACACUGCAGCCUGGGAAACAGAGGGAGUUCCCCAUCUCUUGAAAAAAAAAGCGGCAUCCAUAUUCUAAGUAUAAAUUAUUAUUAUUUGUCUAGGUUUUGCCAAUGCACUUUAUUAUAUAAUAUUAAGUAUUGAUUAAACUUACAUAUGGUAUACAAUUAGCUAUUUCUUUCCUAAAUGUAAGAAAUCUUCUUAUGUUUUUAUGUUUUUAAGAAGAGGAAAACUAACCUGAAUCUUAAACACAUUUCAUGUAUGAUACACUUCCUAUAUUACUCUUAUAAGACAAAGACAAUAUCAAAUAAAGAAAAUCUUGACAAUUAUGUAGUCAUAAGCUUUUAAACAAGAACCAAAUAGAUACUAGAUGAAUUUUCUCCUUUGGAUAUAAAAAAAAAUACUGAAGAUGUAGUCAUUUCGGGCAGCUGCAUUCCAUAUUUAGGGAAAGUUAUACAGUUUUUUUUUCAAAAAAAUAUUAAAUAUUAUUAAGAUAUUGAAAGAAAAUGAGAUAUGUUAUGCAUGUUCCUAGUAUAUCCCACACUAAUAAACACAUUUUUACAAAACUUUAUAAUAUAAUAGAUAUGUAAUGAUGUAUUUAUAUAAUGUGAUUGUUUUCUAAAAGCAGUAAAACAACAAAAUAUUCAAAGUCUAUUUAUAUAUAUUAAUAUUAUGUUUUGUAAAUUUUUUCUUCUAAUUGAACUUUUAAAACAGUUUUAAAGUACUGUCAGAAACUUAUGGUGAUGACUUUGAAAAAUAAAGGAUAAUAUAGGAAAUGACUAGUUA
rnacentral:lncRNA from 1 species